CCCGUGGGGCCGUAAAUGUUUUUUAAAAAAUCUUAAAAAUCAACCGCUUGUAUAAUGCCAAUCAAAGUCGUUCUCUAUAAUCUAUGGAAUGUUGACUACCAUACUUUCGUAUUUUUAAUUGAAAAUAUCCAUAUAAUAAGGAGCUAAAAAUCAUCAAAGUUGGAGAUACAGCCGGAAAAAUGCCCGGUUUUGACGCCGCGCGCGCGGCACGCUAUUUCGAAGGCCGCCCGGUGGAGAUCAAAUUUUCAACUCAAAAGCCACAAGCCGCCGUGCAUCAGAGAACUCUGGGAAUGAUUCCAGGUGAAAGGGCAGAGAUCAAGGUUCAUUCCAGUGGUUGCACAAUUUUGCUACGUCAUUCCUGGCGGAAGUUAUGGGCCAGAGUUGGGACACCUCCGAAAUGGACACAAAAGGGACAUAUCCUUGGCAGAUCAACCCAAACAGCAAAAUAGAGACUUGUCAAAACUGUUCACCAGAGACAAGGCUGCAGACACCGAGACAACAGAUCAAGUUUAGACACGACAUGUCUGGAGAUGCAAUAUUGGUGACGAACAUUCAAAGUUAUUUGAUCUUAUUGUUUUGAUUUUUAAAGAAGAAAAGCUAAGUUAAGAGAAACUGAAUAGAAAAGCAACCUACUAAUAAUAAUCAGAAAAUUACUUGAACUAAAAAGUUAUUUUUUUAGAAUGGGUAACACAUGUAUGAAUACUAAUUAGCACUUACUAUUACUAAUGUCAUUAAUUACGAUGUUAAUUAGGACAACUGCUAAUUAAGCAUUUUAUUGUUAAAAGUUCUUCAAAGUAACAUGCAAUUUACAUUUGUACAACCCAUUUAAGUAUGCCUACAACAUAAAUGUAAUUAAAAGCCAAUGUGUGGCUAGUUUUCACCAUAUAUGUAUCAUUAGCAUAUUGCUAAUUAGCAUAAAUUCUUAAUUAUUUAUUGAUGUUCCUAAAAGUGUGGAUACAAUCCUGUACUUAUGUCAACAUGCAAUGUAGGUUAGCACUGUCUAGUUUUAUUUCAGGGAAUAUGUAAUUCAAAUAGGGACAAGUGAUACAAUUACAUGUGUUGUUGGAAGUACUUGAGGGUAAUAACCCUCAUUUGCAUAUUUUGUAAUUAAUGAAAACUACAAAAAUACUUCAUUUUUUAAU